CCUACGGGUGGCAGCAGUGGGGAAUAUUGCGCAAUGGGCGAAAGCCUGACGCAGCGACGCCGCGUGAGGGAUGAAGGUCUUCGGAUCGGAAACCUCUGUCAGCAGGGAAGAACGGUCACGGUGCUAAGCAGCAGUGAAUUGACGGUACCUGCAAAGGAAGCACCGGCUAACUCCGUGCCAGCAGCCGCGGUAAUACGGAGGGUGCGAGCGUUAAUCGGAAUUACUGGGCGUAAAGCGCUCGUAGGCGGUAUGUCAAGUCAAGGGUGAACUCCCCGCGCUCACCGUGGGAACUGCCUUUGCAACUUGCAAACUUGAGUGUGUUAGAGGAUAGUGGCAUUCCAGGUGU
rnacentral:rRNA from 1 species